UGAACGCUAGCUACAGGCUUAACACAUGCAAGUCGAGGGGAAACGAUAGAGAAAGCUUGCUUUUUCUAGGCGUCGACCGGCGCACGGGUGAGUAACGCGUAUCCAACCUGCCCAUCACUUGGGGAUAACCUUGCGAAAGUAAGACUAAUACCCAAUGAGGUCUCUAGAAGACAUCUGAAAGAGAUUAAAGAUUUAUCGGUGAUGGAUGGGGAUGCGUCUGAUUAGCUUGUUGGCGGGGUAACGGCCCACCAAGGCGACGAUCAGUAGGGGUUCUGAGAGGAAGGUCCCCCACAUUGGAACUGAGACACGGUCCAAACUCCUACGGGAGGCAGCAGUGAGGAAUAUUGGUCAAUGGGCGAGAGCCUGAACCAGCCAAGUAGCGUGCAGGAUGACGGCCCUAUGGGUUGUAAACUGCUUUUAUAAGGGAAUAAAGUGGGAGUCGUGACUCCUUUUGCAUGUACCUUAUGAAUAAGGACCGGCUAAUUCCGUGCCAGCAGCCGCGGUAAUACGGAAGGUCCGGGCGUUAUCCGGAUUUAUUGGGUUUAAAGGGAGCGUAGGCCGGAGAUUAAGCGUGUUGUGAAAUGUAGACGCUCAACGUCUGCACUGCAGCGCGAACUGGUUUCCUUGAGUACGCACAAAGUGGGCGGAAUUCGUGGUGUAGCGGUGAAAUGCUUAGAUAUCACGAAGAACUCCGAUUGCGAAGGCAGCUCACUGGAGCGCAACUGACGCUGAAGCUCGAAAGUGCGGGUAUCGAACAGGAUUAGAUACCCUGGUAGUCCGCACGGUAAACGAUGGAUGCCCGCUGUUGGUCUGAAUAGG
rnacentral:rRNA from 1 species